rnacentral:rRNA from 1 species
AACGAACGCUGGCGGCAGGGUUUAGGCAUGCAAGUCGCACGGGAAAGUCGCAAGAUGAGUACAGUGGCGUAAGGGUGAGUAAUAGAUAGCUGACCUACCCUCAAGACGCGGAUAAAUUCCCCGAAAGGGGUUGUAAUACGCGAUGAGACCACGUGCAUCACGGUGCGUGUGGUCAAAGGCUGGGGGAUCCUUCGGGACCUGACGGCUUGGGAAGGGGCGAUCUCUGAUUAGCUAGUUGGCGGGGUAACGGCCCACCAAGGCGAUGAUCAGUAGCCGGGCUGAGAGGCUGUCCGGCCACACGGGCACUGAGACACUGGCCCGACUCCUACGGGAGGCUGCAGUCGCGAAUUUUUCUCAAUGGGCGCAAGCCUGAAGAAGCCAUGCCGCGUGCGGGACGAAGGCCCUCUGGGUUGUAAACCGCUGUCAGGGAAGGGGAAACGUGCGGUGUUAACAGCGCCGUAUUGACUGCUUUCCAAGGAACCCCGGCAAACAUG